rnacentral:ribozyme from 1 species
UGCCCAGCAAUUUCUAUCCCUACCUCCUCGCUGUACUGUAACCAACCCCCCGUGGGAACUUUGGUCGUAUGCUGACAGGGAAGG